AGCGUACGUUAAAGUUGCUGCAGUUAAAAAGCUCGUAGUUGAACGUUCGGGUUCCGCGGGACGGGGCCGCCCCGCGAGGGACGGCGCCGCCCCGGGGCUCGUGAUAUCUCAUCUCGCCGCCCGUCGCGAGGCGGACGGAGGGAUGGAUGAGGUUACCUAGGAAAAAAUCGGGGCGAUCUAGGCGGGCGAACCUCGCCAACGAACGAUCGGACAUGGGAUAACGGAAGAGGGCGUCGGCUCGACUUCGUCGGUUCCUCGGGCCGAGGCACGUACGGUGAAUAGGGGACGGUCGGGGCCGCCCGUACCGGGUCGUGAGAGGUGAAAUUCUAGGAUCGACCCGAGACGAACCGCCGCGAAAGCAUUCGGCAAGGACGCUUUCAUUAAUCAAGAACGAAAGUCGGGGGAUCGAAGACGAUCAGAUACCGUCGUAGUCCCGACCGUAAACGAUGCCGACCGAGGGCCCGGAGG
rnacentral:rRNA from 1 species